ACAGGAAUCAAUAUAUGAGUGGAUGGUGGUGCACAGUUGAGGCCACCAGAAGGAGCAGGUGGCCAGAGAGUUUUGAGGUGACCUAGAUGGCCCACUAAUGUGCCACCCAAUUAGGACCAGUAGAAGACUAAGCAAAAACCUGCUUUUCUGUCAAGUUUAAUGCUAGCUCUGUCACUUGUGAAAGCUACAGUAUUCUGCUAGUCAAAUUUUGAGGCCCUGGGAAUGUUCCAGAUGGAAGAAGAAACUGAUGGAAUCUGAAGUUGGACCAAUAAAAGAUAUCACCUCACCCACAGUGUCUUUCUAAUUUCCUGGGACCAACCUGGUUACUACUACAAACGUGCAGCAAACCCUCCUCACCAAACUAGCAGCCAGCAAAAACUCCAAAGCAUCUUUCGGAAAUAUCAGGAGAACUAGAUUGUUGGAGCAGAAACCCAGCACAUGGCUGAUUUAGAUACCUUAAGGUCUACAAAUCUGCGAAUACCAAAAAUGUGGACUUUAGAAAUGCAGCACUAGACAUUCUAGAACUCUACUUCUGAUACAGAAGAAUGCAGCUUCUCAUCUGGAAAUGACACAUUAAGCACAUGUAAAAUGAGUGUGAUUGAAUGAAGAAAGAGAUCUCCUGUCAGGAUCAAUGGCAAGAGAGAACCAUUCUCCAGAGUUGCAUCUCUAAAUUAGAUGUGAUCC